rnacentral:rRNA from 1 species
GACGAACGCUGGCGGCGUGCUUAACACAUGCAAGUCGAACGAAGUGGCGAACGGGUGAGUAACGCGUAAUCAACCUGCCCUUCAGAGGGGGACAACAGUUGGAAACGACUGCUAAUACCGCAUACUGCUUUAGUGGAUUUCGUCUGAUUAGCUAGUUGGAGGGGUAACGGCCCACCAAGGCGAUGAUCAGUAGCCGGGCUGAGAGGAGGAACGGCAACAGUGGGACUGAGACAAGGCCCAGACUCCUACGGGAGGCAGCAGUGGGGAAUCUGCCGCAAUGGACGAAAGUCUGACGGAGCAACGCCGCGUGAGUGAUGACGGCCUUCGGGUGGUAAAGCUCUGUUAAUCGGGACGCGGUACCGGAAUAGAAAGCCACGGCUAACUACGUGCCAGCAGCCGCGGUAAUUC